UUUUAGGACCAAUCAAUAAAACAGUCCUUUUUAAAAGAUGCCAUUCUCCUUCAAGUACUCCACAAAUUCAUCUAUAAGAUAGGGCCACGCACCUUCCGCGUCGUAGUUCGACAGUGCAGGGUCUAUCGUCUGCACGACA